CAGUCGCCACGGUAAUACAGAGGGUGCGAGCGUUAAUCGGAAUUACUGGGCGUAAAGGGCGCGUAGGCGGUUAGGAAGGUGUGAUGUGAAAUUCCUGGGCUCAACCUGGGGGCUGCGCUUGAUACUUGGUUGCUUGAGUGGGGAAGAGGGUCGUGGAAUUCCCAGUGUAGAGGUGAAAUUUGUAGAUAUUGGGAAGAACACCGGUGGCGAAGGCGGCGACCUGGUCCUUGACUGACGCUGAUGCACGAAAGCUAGGGGAGCAAACAGGAUUAGAUACCCCGGUAGUCCCUGUCUCUUAUAC
rnacentral:rRNA from 1 species